rnacentral:tRNA from 1 species
GGUGUGACUCAGUUGGUAGAGGAUUUGCCUAGUGUGCAAGGAGCCCUGGGUUCCAUCCCCAGCACC